rnacentral:rRNA from 1 species
AGCAGCCGCGGUAAUUCCAGCUCCAAUAGCGUAUAUUAAAGUUGUUGCAGUUAAAAAGCUCGUAGUUGAAUUUCGGGAUCAAUACGUCGGUCGUGCCUCUGGUAUGAACUGGUGUUAUUGAUUCCUCCUUUCUGAUAAACCAUGAUGUCAUUAAUUUGGUGUUGUGGGGAGUCAGGACUGUUACUUUGAAAAAAUUAGAGUGUUUAAAGCAGGCCUACGCUUGAAUACAUUAGCAUGGAAUAAUGAAAUAGGACGUUCGAACCUAUUUUGUUGGUUUCUAGGAUCAACGUAAUGAUUAAUAGGGAUAGUUGGGGGCAUUAGUAUUCAAUUGUCAGAGGUGAAAUUCUUGGAUUUAUUGAAGACUAACUACUGCGAAAGCAUUUGCCAAGGAUGUUUUCAUUAAUCAAGAACGAAAGUUAGGGGAUCGAAGACGAUCAGAUACCGUCGUAGUCUUAACCAUAAACUAUGCCGACUAGGGAUCGGAUGAUGUUAAUUUUUUAAUGACUCAUUCGGCGCCUUACG